rnacentral:rRNA from 1 species
GACGAACCUUGCUAACGUUAUUCGGAAUUACUGGGCUUAAAGGGUGCGUAGGCGGUGCGGAAAGUCGGGUGUGAAAUCCCCCAGCUCAACUGGGGAAUUGCGCCUGAAACUACCGUGCUCGAGGAAGACAGAGGUACGCGGAACUUAGGGUGGAGCGGUGAAAUGCGUUGAUAUCCUAAGGAACACCGGUGGCGAAGGCAGGUCUCUGGGCCGAUACUGACGCUGAGGAGCGAAAGCGUGGGGAGCGAACAGG